rnacentral:rRNA from 1 species
ACUGGUUGAUCCUGCCAGUAGUCAUAUGCUUGUCUCAGAGAUUAAGCCAUGCAUGUCUAAGUACAUACCUUAAAACGGUGAAACCGCGAAUGGCUCAUUAAAUCAGCUAUGGUUCCUUAGAUCGUAAACGCUACAUGGAUAACUGUAGUAAUUCUAGAGCUAAUACAUGCCUUGAAUCCCUGACCCGCAAGGGGACGGGUGCAUUUAUUAGAACAGAACCAACCGGGUGCGGCUUAUGCUGUGCCUGUUACAUUCUGUGAUGACUCUGGAUAACUUUACUGAUCGCAGUCGGCCUUGUGUGUCGGCGACGGAUCUUUCAAAUGUCUGCCCUAUCAAUUUGUUGGUAGGUGAUUUGCCUACCAUGAUGAUAACGGGUAACGGGGAAUCAGGGUUCGAUUCCGGAGAGGGAGCCUGAGAAAUGGCUACCACAUCCAAGGACGGCAGCAGGCGCGAAAAUUACCCACUCCCAGCACGGGGAGGUAGUGACGAAAAAUACGGAUACGGGACUCAAUUGAGGCUCCGUAAUUCGAAUGAGUACAAUUUAAAUCCUUUAACGAGGACCAAUUGGAGGGCAAGUCUGGUGCCAGCAGCCGCGGUAACUCCAGCUCCAAAAGCGUAUAUUAAAGUUGCUGCAGUUAAAAAGCUCGUAGUUGGAUCUGGGUAGUGCGAUCGCAUGCUGUUGCUUGUUCACGGUCUUGGUUACGAUCAGGGCAGUGGUCAGCUCGGCGUAGUGGUUGUGCAACCUUUCAGCCGUGUCUGUGUUUUAUUAAACAGGUGUCGAUGGGUUAAUGAGUAUUGUAUCUUAUUGACCUGUUGGCAUGCUUUCGGAUGCCUUUAAACGGGUGUCGGGGGCGGACGGCAUCUUUACUUUGAACAAAUUUGAGUGCUCAAAGCAGGCCUAUGCGCCUGAAAAUUCUUGCAUGGAAUAAUGAAAUAGGACUUCGGUUCUAUUUUGUUGGUUUUCGGAUCCGAAGUAAUGGUUAAGAGGGACAGACGGGGGCAUUUGUAUGCCGGUGUUAGAGGUGAAAUUCUGGGAUCG